UGUGCUGAAAAAACUCUGCUUUCAUUUCUUCUUAAGCAAUUCAAAGUUCUUCAUACCCCACUCCGGGCAACUGCAACUCAGUUUUAUAUAGUGCUCUCCAAGAAAAACAUUGGUUUGGUAAAUAAUGUGGUUAGAAUUUUUAUCCUAUCCUGCUUGAUUGCCAAAAUCAAAGUCAACCAAAGGUGGCAUUUCACGGCAGAACUGUAGGUUGAUGACUGCUGUUGGGCAAAGAACCUUACCUGCUGUACGGCAAAUCAUUCUCUCCCAUCUCAAAUAUUGCUAGUGGCCAAUAAUUUGAUCUAUAACUCUUCUUUAGUUUUUGUUCAAUUUUUUUUUAAUCUUAUCUACCUACUUAAGCUGUGAGGUUUUCUGGGUAGCAAACUUCUGCAAGAGUUCUGUGAGCACAAAGACAGCAAGGGCUGGGCUUCUGGGGGCGCUUGGGUGCCGCUGCAUUCGAAACAGGCCCCGACGUGGUGAAAGCCGUACUACUCAGGGAGUAUCUAACUUCUCCAAACUGCUCAUGACAAAAGAAAAUAUAAACUGCAAUUUUAGAAAUCACUCAUAUACAGAACUACAGGUUUAAUUUGUAUGCAUCGUCAACCUUCAGACUUUCAACUUGUCCAAAACGCAGACAGCUUUGUUUUGCAUCACGACUCUCUGUGGAGAUGCGCAGUGAAAAAACAAGAUGCAUCGGGCACAAACUGCAGCAAGAGAAAUUCCCAUUAAAUGAGGAAAAGUUUUUGACCACGAGUGCAGACAAACACUGGAAGAGGUUACCCAGACUGCGCAGUCUCCAUCCUCAGAGAUGCCCCAAACUCAAAGGGCAAGUCCCUGAGCAACCUGGUCUAAGUUAGCCCUGCUUUGACGAUGCAGCAUUUGGGUUACCCCCAGAAGUUUCUUCCAGCCCGUAUGACUCUACAAAUAAAUUAUUGCAGUUAUACAUACAGUAUGUAAUCAAUUUUUCAGACCACGUUGAACAUUUUCAUAGUUUCACCACAGACAAAGUGAUUAAAGUUCCAGUUCUGUCCUUCAAUGUUAAGUGUAUCGACGCACUUCUAAAAACUAUUUCCAAACUCACGUCAACACGUUAUGAUAUCUUAGCUAUGUACAGAGAAAUCUUGAUCUUUGGGGAACUGCCGUAUUCAGAAUUACAUGGCAGUCUGUGAAGCACCCCCAACUUCUUCAUUCCUAUUAAAGAAUUGUCUCAAACUUAUAGAUUACUGUGUGACUAUACCCAGGAAAGACUUUUAAAAUCCUGCAUCUACUCCAAAACAUUCUGCUCCUAAUAUUAAUGUCCUUUUGAAACGAACGAUUCAGAGCACAUACUGAUUUAAUACACGUAAGAACUAAUAAUUCUUUUAUUUUUAAAAGUACCAGUGAUGCUUCUGAGGUGGUUUUGGAAAAAAGGUGCAUUUUUGCAUGAAGGAAACACCUGAAGCAGAACCUCCCUCACUGGUGGGUUUGUUUUUGCAAAGUGAGCUCUGCUGCCAACGUAUUAACUUUUGAGGACUAAGCCACACACACGACGACGCAUUUUACAGGCAAAGACUUCUCACCUCAAAGCACUGAGUAAACAAAGUUUUCCUUAACCGAUGCGACAAAACUACACUGCAGAGUUUUGCUGGUGUAGUUAGCUCGGUAGGUUUUCACAGCUAGUUUAAGAAACUGCAAAGUUACCCAACGCACCAGGAAGCAUGAGGCAGCCAAGCCAGCUCAUUUUUCACAAACGGGACCCUUCCGUGUCAGAAGAGAGGUUUUGUUCUGCUCACAGUGAGCUGGCUUUCGUUAAAACUCCACCUUACUCCGUAAGCCUUCCUAACCAAGCAGAAACACAGAGACAUAGGCGUGUUGAAAGAGGUGUGGCUCCCUUCUGGUAUCACGUUUGACAACGCACAUAGUUAUGCUUAGCAUUUUAAGGAACAUGAGCAAUUUUUGCACUAAAACCCUGAUGUGCGAAAAUUUCCUACCAAUACUCUCCUUUCCUCACUGCAGACACCCCUGUUUUCUGACCAUCUCCGCACCAACACAGCUAUUUAACUCCUGUGCUUUGUAGGGAACAGGAUUCACAUUGCAAAAGGAAAAAAAGAUAAAGCACCUACAGUAAACACGUCCUGGCGAGUCACCGAGAGGCACUGACUAUAGAGUACUAGAUUUCAUUACGAUUUUAACAGUCUUGUUUUUCAUGUGCUGCUAUUUGUUAAUGAGUAUUUACAUUAGUAAAUGCAUCUUUUACAGGAAAAGCAGUAUCUUCCAUUAAUCAUUGCUUACAUUCAUGGAGAUAAAUUGUAGCUUUUAUACGCACACUAAUACAGUCAUGAAGAAACAUUUGUAUAUAUGCUUAUUAGUUUGACAUCGCCACAGGCAGAAAAGCAAUUUGUACAGAAAUUGGAACACAAUUAAACUGCAAAGAAUGGUUAUUAAACUUUUAGCCAAACUCGUUCAAAUAUGCUGAAUAAAUAAAUAGGUUUUGCAUUCAAGACUUAUUAAGAGAGGAUGCAGUAUGGAUAGGAAGGGAAGGGAAGUGAUGAUUUCCAAUUGCUACCUCACUUAAGAGUUCAGGAUUUCCACCUCUCACAUCUAAUUAUUUAUAGACUGAAACACAAAAAACUUUUUUUUCCACUUGUCUGAAAGCUUCCUAACUUUCAGCAACCAAAGCGAACAGGACGGCCAUAAAACCCCGUGUCUCACCACAGCUCUCUUUAGGGCUGGAAAAUCCCAGGAGCGGUAACCUUCGCUGGCAAGAGCCCAGCUUCGCACCUUGGGCUUUGCACAGUCUUACACACCGCAUCGACUACAGCUAGCUCUCAGAUGUAUUUAUUUUUUAGCGCUUUUUACAAAUCACCCACACGGUAUCAUCACUUUGAAAGAUAUGCAAGGUUUCAAAAUCUUGUGCUAAAAUGAGAACCUAAGGAACAGAGCUGUGAUCGAAACCAGUUGCACAAUCUCGCACGCUGAAAUAACAUUCUUUCUGGAAAGUGGCUCUUCUCUUUCCCUGCUUUUAGAGCUCCUUUACCUGAACCACGCACUACUGCCAGCUUAUUCCACUAUCCCAAUUCGUGCCCUUUCUGUAUUCUCCCUUACACCAAGCACAGCAAGUUUUAAACCUGAGUUAUGUUACAGCCGUGUUGAACUGGCUGCUAGGUGACACCAGCAAGUUGGUGCUGCUGCCACAGGAAUUACUUACUGCCUUCGCAGCACUGGAAUUCCUGACUACGCACAAAGCAGGACAGGAACUGAGUUUCCGAACCCGUGGUAUCACCAGAUCACUUAUCACUUAUUUUGCUUUUAUAGCACUAUUAGGAGACCAGCACAGAAGAGUCUAUAUUUGUUCACCUUCUUCCCUCCUCGAAUUUCAGUAGUUCUGACCAGUGUUGUAGCUAUGUAUCUGUCAAAGUUACCUACAACCCGAUUGCACCACCACCAUCUAUACCAGCCUUUGAAGCUCUCCAUUUCUUAUCACGGAGAAAGAUAUAUGGAGAGGCAAUAUGAUUUAUUCCCUGUGAACAUUAAUGUUUGUCUACCUGUCCUCCUGUAUUUGUAAUCACAGUCCCAGCUGGAUGGCUGAGAAGGGUGUGUUUUCCAAACGCUAUCCAGCACGAGGAUCUCUUUAGCUCAGUGCUGCUCAACGUCUGAGAUAAAAUUUAACUAAUUUCAUAAAUGUUAACUUCAAAAAUUGUUUUAUUAUUCAUAUCAAGUGACAAUUGAGAGACCAGAAAUUAACCAAACUGAAGAAAUUCAAUUCAAGAUCUCCAUAUGCAUUAAGAAUUUGCACUUUCAAAUUUCAUUCCUUAUAGAGUAUUCAUUUAGUGACUCAAUCGAGGGCAAAUCUGUCCACUUAAAAUCACAGUAAUUUAACCAAAAAAUGCUUUAGUCUAAACCGAGGAAGUCUUCUACUUAAUCCACUUAGAGUGCACAGUCUUAGUUUAAUACCAUCAGAAAACGAUUAUAGCUUUUAAGCAGUAAACAUUUUUAUUGUAAAAUGAUAGCAUAACUGAAAUGUAUCUAUGCUUUCAAGCACAUUGUUAAAAGGCUAUCCGACAUAACUUAAAUGAUGUAAUAAAACCCUUAAACAAGCCCAUGCCAUUUUGGGGACCCCAGUCUUUCCAAGCACUGGGUGGGAGCUGCCCAAUACAGAGAAUGCUCGUUUCAGAAUGGAUAAAUACAUCACACCUUGAUAUACCACCUGAGAGGUUCACGUUCAAGAAAGCUAAUCCGUGUACCUCUUUUGUGGAAAAGUAAAAUCUUGAGGUAUCAUAAGGUCUCCAGGGAUACUUGCUUGCUUUUCCAUGAGCUUGCAGCAUUAGCCAUCUUUGUUUCAUUAGCCAAUAAAAUCUCUUGCCAGGCUUGGAAAAUUCCAAUCAUGUAGGACAAUCAAUUUUAUAUGAGACUGAAGUGGAUAAAAGAAUCAAUUUAAAUUUACUAUGGCAAAGCACUGAUUCUGUUUGUUUAUACCAAGGCAAGAGGAAUCUCUAGAAGGUCUGCACCCAUUCUGAGAGGAAAGAAAAACUGCAAUUAACAGACAGAAGAAAGUUCAGGACUUAACUCCAUCAGUCAUGCAGGUACACUAUUAAGCACAGGCAGUGCUUCUCAGCUCACGGAGAGGCAAGAUGAAAGCGUCACCGUAAUUUACAUUAUUUGUCAGGACAAGAGGCAAUGGGCACAAACCAGAACACAGGAGGUUCCCUCUGAACAUCAGGAAACAUUUUUAUUUUUUUUUUAUUAGCUGUGCAGGUGACUGAGCACUGGCACAGGGUACCCAGAGAGGUCAUGGAGUCCUCCUUGGUGAUCUCCAAAAGCCACCUGGACGUGGCCCUGGGCAACCUGCUCUGGGUGGCCCUGCAUGAGUCAUUCUGUGAUGCCAAAAUAACUUGUAGUUGGAGUGUUUUUAAGCAUAUUCCCUAACAGCAACAUACGGGAUUAGAGUUACUUGCAUGUUCUAGAAAGGAUACAAAGAACCAUGGACCAUCAUGUAUGUGAAUGUGAACCAUGUAGAGGACUAAAGCCUCUGGCUGGAAAGAAAUGGAGGGACCUCAUGUUAUGCAUUUUGGCCUAUCAGCGGCUCUCUAGUUCUGAAACGUGGCCCUGUUAAUCCCAAACAUGCAAAAAAUCUGCCUUUUCAUAACCACUUAAGACAUUUUGGACAUUCCUCUAAGUUCAGAGAAGCUUGAAACAUCAUUUUUUGGUGUCCACAACCUUUCAGUCAUCUCAGAGCUUCUGCUGCCAGGAAAGCACACAUUUUUUGAUCAGAAAUGAAUAAAACUGUGUGUUAUACGAAGACAGGGGCAGCGCACGCAAGCCACCACAGCUGUGAAGCAGGCAGCUGCCACGAAGCUGCCUCCAGGAGAGGAAGCCAAGGAGCGCCGAUAACUGAGGUCUCCAAGACACCCUGCUCCCUGAGAGGCUUGCCGUAAAAAUCACUUUCGACCCUCCGUUUUCCUGCUCAGCAACUGAUGGGGAGAAACUCCAGGGAGAAUGGAAGUGGCUCCAUGAACGAGCUGAAGAAGAGAGAGCACAGCUGGAGCACAAUGAACUCAAUUCAGCGAGGAUGGAGUGCAGAAGGGAGUGAAGGAAAAGCAACAGGGAAAUUCCUGAGGUUGGAACGGGAAGGCUGGGAAGAGAAGAGAGGACCAGCAGAAAGCAGCAAUGGUGCUAGGACAAAGCAAAUAAAGGUGAGGAAAGCAACGGAGCUG